rnacentral:rRNA from 1 species
UACCUACGGGACGCAGCAGUGGGGAAUAUUGCACAAUGGGGGGAACCCUGAUGCAGCGACGCCGCGUGGGCGAGGAAGUAUUUCGGUAUGUAAAGCCCUAUCGGCAGGGGAGAAGAAAUGACGGGACCUGAAUAAGAAGCACCGGCUAAAAAAGUGCCAGCAGCCGCGGUAAUACGUAUGGUGCAAGCGUUAUCCGGAUUUACUGGGCGUAAAGGGAGCGAAGGCGGCGCGCCAAGGCUGAUGGGAAA